rnacentral:lncRNA from 1 species
GAUGGUGUGCGUGCAGAGGGCUAAGCAUGAAUUUCAGAAAAUUUUUAUGCGGAAAGAACAGGUUAAACAUUUUAACCCAAAACAUGCUUGAUAUUUUAGAUAUUUUAACUCUGGUACCAGUCGAAGACAGUCUUCAACUGCACAUCGCAUGUGGCGCGGGCUCAGUCCCAAUACAUAGGGUGACACCCGCGUGUGCCUAUCAAAGCACUCAUCAUAUGAGCCCCCGAGUGGAGAGCCACGCUUCGUCACACGAUCACGCGUGAGAGUUCCCAAAAAUCGGAUAGUCCCCACUAAUCCUUUGCUUUGACACCAAAUAUCACAAAGCCCUCAGAUCCCGAGGAUUGUAUGAUUCAAAUAAAUAUGCAUAAAUCACAACUUCUUGUGAUUUGAAGAUUGAGAUCAUAUCUCAACCAUAAAAGAGAUCAGAUCUCUUACCCUUAGAAGGAGGUUCCUUCAAGGAUGCUUCGCAGCCGCACAAGCGUCCGGCCUCGAUGACUCGUCCACGCGAAGCUCCGGAAUGAUCAGCUUCCCGGGGAGUGCUAGCUUCGCAGGAAGGCAGAAGGUUGGCUGAAAGGGAGAAGAAGGAAGAAGAUGGACCUUCACAGCUCAAGAACUCCUUCUUGGGCUUUCACCUUCAGAACUACUCUCUCCUCUCACUCUCUUUCUCUGGUGCUCU